CCCACCACCUCCCCGAGGUGUUAACAAGAAAACAGCGCAGAAUCAGAGGGAGUUUGUACGUGCAAAAUGUGUCCGCUACUAAUGAGACCCUGGGGUUGUAAAUCGCAUCGACGUGGAAUAAACGCCACUGACGGCCACAGAUAGAUGGAGGGCGGGGGGAACCCGAAACAAGCUAAACUUUGGCAUUUUAAUUUUAUAACCCGCUGGCCGUGAAGGAAAUGCAAGAAAUAAAAUAGUUCAUCAGGUCGGGAUACUUUCAGAGUUCCAGCAGCGAGGCCAACAGCCGUAAGGAUAUGAUGCUCCUCAUUUCCUUCAGGGCCACGGGCUGCUAGUCAGGAAACUUUCAGCAGUGCAAAGGUUACAAGAACACAGAAAAAAAAUGUGCAUCAGAUAUACACAUUUGAAGGAAGAUCUCAAAGACAUUCUGAUAGAUAAACUUCUGAAGGCACUGGAAGAGAAGAAGAUACAAAGCAUGAAAGCACUGCAGAACCUGAAAUAAUAGCCACCAACACAAUGAGGAUUAUUUCAGCUGAAUAUUCUGCCACUAUAUCUCUAUGGAGUAUUUUAAUGGACCUUCAAUAAUGGGUUUCUACUUAUUA